rnacentral:rRNA from 1 species
AAAUUGAAGAGUUUGAUCAUGGCUCAGAUUGAACGCUGGCGGCAGGCCUAACACAUGCAAGUCGAACGGUAACAGGAAGCAGCUUGCUGCUUUGCUGACGAGUGGCGGACGGGUGAGUAAUGUCUGGGAAACUGCCCGAUGGAGGGGGAUAACUACUGGAAACGGUAGCUAAUACCGCAUAACGUCGCAAGACCAAAGAGGGGGACCUUCGGGCCUCUUGCCAUCGGAUGUGCCCAGAUGGGAUUAGCUAGUAGGUGGGGUAAAGGCUCA